AGAUUGAACGCUGGCGGGAUGCUUUACACAUGCAAGUCGAACGGCAGCACGGACUUCGGUCUGCGGCGAGUGGCGAACGGGUGAGAGAAUUCUAUCGAACGUGCCUAGUAGCGGGGGAUAACUACGCGAAAGCGUAGCUAAUACCGCAUACGGCCCUUCGGGGGAAAGCGGGGGACCUUCGGGCCUCGCACUAUUAGAGCGGCCGAUAUCGGAUUAGCUAGUUGCGGGGGUAACGGCUCACUAAGGGCGACGAUCCGUAGCUGGUUUGAGAGGACGACCAGCUACACUGGGACUGGAGACACGGCCCAGACUCUACGGGAGGCAGCAGUGGGGAAUUUUGGACAAUGGGGAAACCCUGAUCCAGCCAUCCUGCGCGUGUGCGAUGAAGGCCUUCGGGUUGUGAAAGCACUUUGGGCAGGGAAAGAAACGGCACGGAUAAUACCCGUGCAACUGACGGUACCCGCAGAAUAAGCACCGGCUAACUACGCCAGCAGUCAUGGUAAUGCAGGGUGCGCGUGUGUUAAUCGGAAUUACUGGGCGUAAAGCGUGCGCAGGGCGGUUCGGAAAGAAAGAUGAAAAAUCCAGAGCUGACCCUUGGAACUGCAUUUUUAACUACUGAGCUAGAGGUGUCAGGGAGGGAGGUGGAAUUCCGCGUGUAGCAGUGAAAUGCGUAGAUAUGCGGAGAACACCGAUGGCGAAGGCAGCCUCCCGGGAUAACACCGACGCUCAUGCACGAAAGCGUGGGGAGCAAACAGGAUUAGAUACUCCUGGUAGUCCACGCCCUAAACGAUGUCAACUAGCUGUUGGGGCCUUCGGGCCUUGGUAGCGCAGCUAACGCGAAGUUGACCGCCUCGGGGAGCAUGGUCGCAAGAUUAAAACUCAAAGGAAUUGACGGGGACCCGCACAAGCGGUGGACGAUGUGGAUUAAUCUGAUGCAACGCGAAAAACCUUACCUACCUUUACAUGUCUGGAAUCCCGAAGAGAUUUGGGAGUGUCUCGCAAGAGAACCGAACACAGGUGCUGCAUGGCUGGGCCGUCAGCUCGUAUCGUGAGAUGUUGGGUUAAGUCCCGCAACGAGUGCAACCUUCGUCAUUAAGUUGCUACGAAAGGGGCACCUGAUGAGACUGCCGGUGACAAACCGGAGGAAGGUGGGGAUGACGUCAAGUCCUCAUGGCCUCUUAUGGGCGUAGGGCUUCACACGUCAUACAAUGAAAGUCGGGACAGAGGGUCGCCAAACGGCGAGGGGGAGCCAAUCCCAGAAACCCGAUCGUAGUCCGGAUCGCAGUCUGCAACUCGACUGCGCGGAAGCUGGAAUCACUAGUAAUCGCGGAUCAGCAUGUCGCGGUGAAUACGUUCCCGGGUCUUGUACACACCUGCCCGUCACACCAUGGGAGUGGGUUUACCAGAAGCGUAGUUAGCUCAACCGUAAGGAGGCGAUUACCACGGUAGGAUCUUUAUGAUCGGGGUGAAGUCGUAACAAGGUAG
rnacentral:rRNA from 1 species